UGGGGAAUAUUGGACAAUGGGCGCAAGCCUGAUCCAGCCAUGCCGCGUGAGUGAUGAAGGCCCUAGGGUUGUAAAGCUCUUUCACCGGUGAAGAUAAUGACGGUAACCGGAGAAGAAGCCCCGGCUAACUACGUGCCAGCAGCCGCGGUAAUA
rnacentral:rRNA from 1 species